GGUUACGAAAUAUAUUAAUUUGUUUUCCCUUCAAUAUAAGAAGUCACGGUAAGUUCCAAAUGGCAAAUGCCACAAGAAAACAAAUGGAGAUUUUAAAGUAGAUGACAUGAAAGAACCGCGGCAAUAUAAUGCGAUUGUUUUUGCAAACGUUUUAAUUUUAAUUUUCAAUGGCCAAGGGGAUGAUUACCUGCAGACUGCAGUUGAACAGUCAACAGUGUUUUAAAAUUUUGAUUUAUAGAUCGUUUUACACAUUUGCUUGCUAAAUUGCCAUGACGCACUGUUGAUUACUCCUUUUUCCACACUAAGGAAUUGGAAAUCGACCCUCUCCCACAUUAAAAAAAAAAACUUUCAAAGAGAUUGUAUAACGUCUUUAUUGAAUGUUGCUUGCACCAAAGUUGUAGAAAUACAUUAAGAUGUAUGUUCUUGUAUUUUUA